CCUACGGGUGGCAGCAGUGGGGGAUAUUGCACAAUGGGGGGAACCCUGAUGCAGCGACGCCGCGUGGGUGAAGAAGCGCCUCGGCGCGUAAAGCCCUGUCAGCAGGGAAGAAAAUGACGGUACCUGUAGAAGAAGCCCCGGCUAACUACGUGCCAGCAGCCGCGGUAAUACGUAGGGGGCAAGCGUUAUCCGGAUUUACUGGGUGGAAAGGGGGCGCAGACGGCGGUGCAAGCCAGGUGUGAAAGCGCGGGGCCCAGCCGCGGGACUGCGCUUGGAACUGCGUGGCUGGAGUGCAGGAGAGGCAGGUGGAAUUCCUGGUGUAGCGGUGAAAUGCGUAGAUAUUAGGAGGAACACCAGUGGCGAAGGCGGCUUUCUGGACUGCAACUGACGCUGAGGCGCGAAAGCGUGGGGAGCAAACGGGAUUAGAUACCCCAGUAGUC
rnacentral:rRNA from 1 species